rnacentral:rRNA from 1 species
GACGGAGGAUGCAAGCGUUAUCCGGAAUUAUUGGGCGUAAAGCGUCCGCAGGUGGCUGUUCAAGUCUGCUGUCAAAGCGCAGAGCUUAACUCUGUACAGGCGGUGGAAACUGAAGAGCUAGAGUAUGGUAGGGGUAGAGGGAAUUCCCGGUGUAGCGGUGAAAUGCGUAGAUAUCGGGAAGAACACCAGUGGCGAAAAGCGCUCUACUGGGCCAUAACUGACACUGAGGGACGAAAAGCUAGGGGGAGCGAAAGGG